UGGCCAAACUGUAACCUUUGUCCACUAUGCAAGCAAGUUCAGGAGUCGGCGGCCCACCUUCUAUUCCAAUGCCGAUACACUUUCAGAGUUUGGCGUAUGAUCAAAGAUUGGCUUGGUCUCCAUGAUGUGCAUCCUUCCGAUUGGAGUGACGCGACUUCCGUUAAAGAGUGGUGGAGCCACAAUGCUAACAAGAAGACCUAAUCGCGAAGGCUGCUUGCUUCCUUGAUGUUGCUAAUCUCUUGGGAGGUAUGGAAAGAGAGGAAUGCACGAAUCUUUCGUAAUAAUGUCGUUCCGGUGGGAGUCGUCGUUGCUAGGAUUAAAGAGGAGACCUUACUUUGGAGCAUUGCGGGAGCAAGGCACUUGAAUAACAUAAUGCCGCGAGAUUGA
rnacentral:rRNA from 1 species